UCUAGGCAGAAGCCAGGAGGUGUUAGGAACAGACUAUAAGACAUGGUUGUUCUGGAGGAAAAAGGGUAAAACUUAAGAGGAAAUAACAGGCACCUGGGAAAACCCACGAAGUAAAGUUUUGUAAGAAGUUGCUCUGCUCCCCGCGAGAAAAUGCCGAGCUCAACACGGCCAAGAGGAACAAGUCUGGGAAAUUACGACAUGAGAUGUGACCAGAUGUUGAUGACCUCAUGUAAGCUGUGGAAGAAUUCCAUUGUCGCUGGGGAGAUAAUAAGUAAGAAGAUCCUUUCACUGUAAUAAAACAGGAUGCAAUAAGAUAAAACAUUAUUACAGAAAUUAUUUCUAAUGUAAAAGAAAAAAGUGUUUAAAACCAAUUAAAACGAUGUAAAUGGCCAGAAGAUGAGCUAGGAUUCUGGAAACUGAUAAAUAUAGUUCUGAUUUCUGCCUCUGCCUUUGUGUGACUGAGCAAAUUAUUUACUUAUUUUAGAGAUGGAGUUUUGUUCUUUUGCCCAGGCUGGAGUGCAAUGGUGUGAUCUUGGCUGACUGCAACCUCCGCCUCCUGGGUUUAAGCGAUUCUCCCGCUUCAGCCUUCCGAGUAGCUGCAG
rnacentral:lncRNA from 1 species